CCUAACUGAAAAAAUCAAGAAGUUUAUCCUAGAAAGGGAAAAAAACCCGUUAAUGGUGAACAUCCCACAUGGGUGGUGUUAUACGUGUGUCAAUUUUACAUUCGUACCCUUAUCAUCUACGGGAAUGGUUGUAUCAUCUUCUCGUUAGAGAAGGAAACCGAGAGAAACUUAAAGGAUUUACGGAUAGAAAUAGAGAGACCAAGAGAAAGAAUGAGGUAGAUCGAGUGAGAUAGUGGAGAUCGAGUUCGUUUACGGGUUUUGGGGGAUGAGUACGGCUGAUUAAAGGAAGAAAACAUGAAUCUCAGAGACGUUAGGGUUUCUUCAUCAUCAAAGCUGGUCAAAUCAAGAUCAUGGUGAUUCAAAACCGGUAUGCAAAUGUGGAUGUUCCUGCUAAUGGCGUAGAUAGAGAUACCCCUAGAGUGCAGUGGACUGAAGAUAUGGAAGCUGAGUGGCAAUUUCAUUGUGGUGGUAAACACGUUAGGGACCCAGUAAACUUUUCUUUGCUGAUCCUAUAUACAUUUGUAAUCUUAAUCUCGGAGAACAAAUCAGUCUUCCAAGAUUUCGAACUCAUCUGCCUGGUGAUCAUAUUGUGAGUGGAUAUGGAUACAAAUCUGUCACUGGUGAUCAUAUUGUGAGUGGAUUUGGGUACAAUUCCAUCACUGAUGAAUAUAAAGUUGUUAGGAUCCACUAUGAUGAUUACACACUGUGGAAGUUAGACAAACCCAAGGGACAAGUUCAGGUUUAUACUCUUGGUAGUGGAAGUCGGUGGAGAAACAUAGCAGAAUGUCCCUACUCGUUGCAACGUUCCAAUACCCCACUACGUCAUGUCUUUGUGUGUUGAAGACCUGACGGUGGCCGAAGUCAAAUUGAUAUUCCAUCUCGGGGCUUCCUCGCAAAUGGUGCUCUUCGUUGGUUGGACGAAGAUUGGAAUAUUGUAAAAUUUGAUUUAGAGUAUGAGCACUUCAGUUUGCUCCCAUCAGCGCCAAGUUUUCGGCCAGGUGAGAAAAACUUCUAUAUACUUCAAGUGUUGGUGGGGUGCUUGUGUGUUGUUAGUGACCAGAAUGGUAAACGUCUUGACAUAUGGUCAUUCAAGUAGGAGACUAGUGAAUGGAAAAAGAUGUGUGGAAUGCAAUGUCGUUCAGAUAAAUUUAUUGAUGUCUAUUGGCCAAUAUCCCUAACAUCAAGAGGUAAACUUUUACUACGAUUUGAUUACAAGGCGCUACGAUGUUAUGAUCCGAGAACCAGUCAAAUGAAAAGGCUUGCUAAUUGCAACACAGAAUUCAAAUUCCCAAGAUCACCUUAUCCUUUGAUAGAAGCAAUACCUCACAUCAACAGUUUUGUUUCACUGAAAGCACUAGGAGAGAGCCCUAUGAAAAUAGCAAGAACCAAUAGACAUAAUGAUCUUGUGUCACUGUUUUGGUGACAUAAUGAUCCUUUUAAUCUAUUUUGCCCUUUAGUCAAAAAAAAUAUAGCAAGAACCAAGAAUGUUGUUGAUUAUCGUUAGAUCAGCGAUUAGCAAAUGAAUAUGAAUGUUUGAUUCACUCAGCAAAUAGAAACUAUUGUUGCAGGCAGGAGAAGCAAAAGGAAAUCGACUACUAAAUCAAGUUGUGUAAUUUCCUAGAACAGAACGGUUCUUUCAUUAUGUUUUAGAGCUCUUUUUUCAAAGUACGAGCAAGUGAAAAUCAAACUCUUUUGUAUUGAAAACAUUACUCCCUAUUGAGCCAGACAUGCUUAAUUAUAUCUCUUGUUGGAGUCAUUCA